UAAAAAAUAAGCUAACUAAGCUAUUGAACUCAUAAUUCAUUUAUAAAGGUCUUUAAAAUCCUUUUUUUUUAA
rnacentral:tRNA from 1 species